GUGACCUCGGAUCGGUAGAAACCAA
rnacentral:rRNA from 1 species